UCAAAAUUGGCAUAGUAUUUUUUAUACAGAAGGUGCUCUGGAAAAGGGCCUUACAGUGUUAUCCUGAGCCAGUCUUUGAUUGUUCAGUGUGGAACGGAAGAACUUCAGUGCACCAUUGAUGUUGGCGCAAGAAUAGACAGUGGCUCCUUGACCCUGAGGAUGUGAAAAGUAAAUUAGUCAGGGAACCAUACUAGUUCUUAAAUAUUAGAAUAUAAUAAAAGAAGCAUGAUUGAAAAAACAUUUGGAUUUUAUCUCUUACACUGUUGUCUCGAGAGAGGCCAGCUCCAAUGUAACCAUCUGACUCGCCACUGAGUUCAAAGGUAAAAUUAUCUGCACUUCCGCUUACUCCUUUUGCAGAUAGGAAAUAACAGGAAUCUUGUGCACCUGGAUUACAAGUAGGUGGAGCAGAGAAACAUGCUCUAUCCCUCCUGCAGUUAUCCCUGCCAGUGAUAUCCUGCAGUGAACAAGAGGUCAAAUUAAAAAGAAAGAAAAAAAUUAUAAAAAUUAAUUGUUAUCCUUUAAAAGCAACUUUCACUUCAAGUCAGGAUUCUUAUUAUUUGCAUUUUUGAGCAAGAAAAAGGGCUUACUAGUGAUAGAUUAUUGACGUUGCUGUUGUUCAAGGUAUUAGAGCCUGAUGGUGUCGCAGUCAGGUUAGCAAUCACGGUGGAAGGGCGUGUUUGAGUCUGGUUGGCGGUUAUGUUGGGAGGGUUUGUCUGGGUCAGGUUGGCGGUUAUGUUGGGAGGGUUUGUCUGGGUCAGGUUGGCGGUUAUGUUGGGAGGGUGUGUCUGGGUCAGGUUGGCGGUUAUGUUGGGAGGGUGUGUCUGGGUCAGGUUGGCGGUUAUGUUGGGAGGGUGUGUCUGGGUCAGGUUGACGGUUAUGUUGGGAGGGUUUGUCUGGGUCAGGUUGGCGGUUAUGUUGGGAGGGUUUGUCUGGGUCAGGUUGGCGGUUAUGUUGGGAGGGUUUGUCUGGGUCAGGUUGGCGGUUAUGUUGGGAGGGUUUGUCUGGGUCAGGUUGGCGGUAAUGUUGGGAGGGUUUGUCUGGGUCAGGUUGGCGGUUAUGUUGGGAAAUACCGUCUGGGUCAAGUUUGUAGAUGCUGCAGUGGUGGUUGAUGUUGCUGUGGUAUUAGAUGCAGUGGCAUUUGUACUGGGUGUUAUUACUGAAACGUCUGUGCUGUUGGGGUUGCUUAAGUCCACUGACCCAUUUGUGGUCAGUCUACUGACUGGAGAAUCCAGAGAACCUUGAAAAAGGAGUAGAUGGAAGAAAAUGGUUUAUUUCUGUUUCAAAAGAAAAUAUAUGUCAGUUACGUGAUCAGAGAGUUGCACUGACCAUUUGAUAUGCUGCCUGUUAAAAGGAAGACAAAAGUGUCUGUGGUUGCAGAACGGGUGGUGCUGCUGAGACCUGCAGCAUUGAAAAUGCAUUGAAUCUUUCUACCAAUGACUGAGCCUCGGAAGCUUCCAGGGAUAAACUGCAGCACAACAGAAGUAACAUUACAUAAUUUGACAUUGCUAAGAUGGAACAUAAACUGCUUCUGAGAAUGCAUAUACAGUGUUGUUGGAAAAUCUUUGAUUGAUGACACAAAUAUUAUCUAAAACAUACAAGCAAGCUUUGCUCAGAAUGUCUGAAAAAAAUGUACUGUAAGUUUUGGCUAGUCAAUGCAGUGCAGUACUUAGACACUAUUGAAAUGCUCUGGCAUUAAAAUGCACAGUUCAUGCUUAAAAGCCUUCAAAUAGCACAGAACUAAAGCUUGUGUGGGCCACUAUUCUUCUACACCAGCAAAUAACUACAGGCAUUUGAUUGUGUUAUUAUUGGGUGUUAUAGGUUACUACCUAGAGAAUGAGGCAGUCAAAGCUAUUAUAUUUUAAUCAUCAUUUAUGCAUUAAUGGUCUCUGAAAAAGGACCUUACCGUAUUAUCCUGCAUCAAUAUUUGAUUGUUUAGUGUGGAACGAAUUAACCUCAGUGCACCAUUGAAUUUGGCACAAGAAUAGACGGUGGCACCUUGACCCUAUGGGUGAGAAAAGCAGAUUAAAAAUAGAUUAGACAACCAGAUACCGUUCUUUGAUUUAAUUGAAUGUAAUGUUUAAUUUUUAAGCACCUUAAUCUCAAUCACUAAAAUAAAUGUCAGAAAAAAAAACAAAAAACAAACCGGAUUUGAUAUCUUACACUGCUGUCUCGAGAGAGGCCAGCUCCAAUGUAACCAUCUGUCUCGCCACUCAGCUCAAAAGUAAAAUUAUCUGCAUUUCCGCUUACUCCUCUUGUGGAAAGAAAAUAGCAGGAACCUUCUGCACCUGGAUUACAGGAAGGUGGAGCGGAGAAACAUGCCCUAUCCCUCCUGCAGUUAUCCCUGCCAGUGAUGUCCUGCAAUAAAAAAAUUACUUGCGUUUUAACAGUCAAGAUGGUUACUUCCAUUUUUAAACAGGAAAAAAAGGUUGACUUACUGGUGACAGAGUAUUAGAGCCUGAUGUUGUUAUAAUAUUUGAUAUGGUGAGGGGGCCUGUCUGGGUCGGGUUUGUGGUAAUAUUGGGAGGCCUUGUCUGGGUCAGGUUAGAGGUUAUGUUGGGAGGGUUUGUCUGGGUCAGGUUGGCGGUUAUGUUGGGAGGGUGUGUCUGGGUCAGGUUGGCGGUUAUGUUGGGAGGGUUUGUCUGGGUCAGGUUGGCGGUUAUGUUGGUAGGGUUUGUCUGGGUCAGGUUGGCGGUUAUGUUGGGAGGGUGUGUCUGGGUCAGGUUGGUGGUUAUGUUUGGAGGGUUUGUCUGGGUCAGGUUGGUGGUUAUGUUGGGAGGGUAUGUUUGGGGCAGGAUAGCGGUUAUGUUGGGAGGGUGUGUUUGGGUCAGGUUGGUGGUUGUGUUGGGAGGGUUUGUCUGGGUCAGGUUGGUGGUUAUGUUGGGAGUUUGUGUUUGGGGCAGGUUGGUGGUUAUGUUGGAAGGGUGUGUUUGUGUCAGGUUAGCGGUCAUGUUGAAAGGGCCCAUCUGGGUUGGGUUUGUGGUCAUAUUAAAAGGGCUCAUCUGGUUCGGGUUUGUGGUCAUGUUGAGAGGGCCCAUCUGGGAUAGGUUUGUAGUCAUAUUAAGAGGGCCUGUCUGGGUAAGGCUGGUGGUUAUGUUAUGAGGACCCAUCUGGGUUGGGUUUGUGGUCAUGUUAAAAGGGUUCAUUUGGUUGGGGUCUGUGGUCGUGUUUAAAGGGCUCAUCUGGUUCGGGUUUGUGGUCAUAUUGAGAGGGCCUAUCAGGGAUAGGUUUGUAGUCAUAUUAAGAGGGCCUAUCUGGGUAAGGCUGGUGGUCAUGUUGAGAGGACCAAUCUGGGUUGGGUUUGUGGUCAUGUUAAAAGGGCUUAACUGGUCGGGGUUUGUGGUCAUGUUGAGAGGGCCCAUCAGGGAUGGGUUUGUAGUCAUAUUAAGAGGGCCAGUCUGGGUAAGGCUGGUGGUCAUGUUGAGAGGACCCAUCUGGGUAAGGUUAAGGUUUAUGUUGGGAGGUCCUGUUUGAGUUAAGUUUGAAGUUAUGUUGAAGGGACCGACCUGGUUUAGGUUGGUGGUCAUGCUGGGUGGGUUCGUCUGGGUCAGGUUGGUGGUAAUGUUGGGUGGUAGUGUCUGGGUCAGGUUGGUGGUCAUGUUGGUUGGUAGCGUCUGGGUCAGGCUGGUGGUCAUGUUAGAAGAUAUCCAGCUGUCUGUAGAGUUGCUACUGCUUGUUGUAUUGCUCCCAUUGACUCCAAGCAUCAUGCAUGCUAUCCCCAGGAUAGCCACAUAAAUCCAUUUACUCCUCAUCCGUGAUCUUUAUGUGCUUAUGUAUCUGUUAAUCGUGCAGUUUUUGUUACCUAUAAUUUAAAAGAAAACAAAUCAUCUUGUAUAAUCAACAAAAAAAAAUAAACAUUUUGGAUAAUUUAAAUUUGAUUUUAAAAGCCAUUAACGAAAGGCAGGCUUUAUCUGAAAGACUUUGUCGUUCAUAAUCUUUUAUCAUUCCUUCCCAGACACAAACAAGCAUGAACCUGGAUCCUCAAUUCAUCAACACCUUAGUUUAUUUACCACAUCUUAUUUAGCAAUAUGGUAUUCAUAAAUAUUAUGGCAUUUUAACAAUUUAACCUUAACACUAACAUACGAGUUUUGCUUAAUGUCUUUUCAUUUCUUUAUCUCAGCAAUGGUUGUUUGUUUGAUGGAACUAAGAGGCUAUCUAUGCAAUCUUCAAAUAAUUCUUGUUACACAACAUUAUAUACUACACAGUGCAACCAUUUAACCUUCUUACUAUGGUAAAGUGUAAAAUUACAGAAUUUGAUAGAUCCUCAAAAUCCAUCCUCAAAACUAAGUGAGCAUAAAAAAAUAAAAUUUUUGCAACUAAAAACUUUUUUUUUUUAAUGUAUGCUUUAGAAGUCAGUGGCUCCUUAGUCAUUCCAUAGUCUCUCGAAAAGUUGGGUCGUUCAGACAGGAUAGCACCGUCCAAUAACACAAAGUAUUUUUAUUUUUUUUCCAGAGUAGACACAACAUUUUGUAAAAAUGUACCAAAAAUUAAAUAAUACAUAAUUGACUUCUAUUUUUAUAACUAAUUUGAAUUAUAAUAUAAAGAUAAAAUAUAUUCAAUUGAUAGGCUAUCUAAUAUUCAUUCAGUACAAUGCAUAAUAAGAUUUGUAAUUUAUGAUCAAACUCAGAUAAAAUAAUAAAAAAUAAAAAAAAACAGCAUGCAUUGGUAUCUGAACAAACAGGAAAAAACAG
ensembl:lncRNA